UAAUAGUUUGCAAAAAUGUGCGUUAAGGAUUGCAACGGAAAUCCUUUUUAUGAGGAACGAAGAAAAAGAUUGAAGUGAAAAGCCUGACCUGAA
rnacentral:sRNA from 1 species